CUUCGUUAGGCAGCUCAACACCUAUGUAAGUUUCUUCUUAUCUGAAAUCAUUUGAUUUGACCUGAGAGUGAUAGAAAAUCAUUGUUUGUAGUCGAUGGUUAAGUUUAGCUUUUCUUUGGUUAUGCAGGGAUUUCGGAAAGUAGUACCUGAUCGAUGGGAAUUCGCAAACGACAGCUUCCGGAGAGGUGAGAGAAGUCAGUUAGUUGAUAUCCAGCGUCGAAAGGUUGCCACGCCGAUUGCUACUCCUUCCGCAGCUGCAACAGCGGUGGCGAUUGUGGCUUCUCCGCCUCAGCCUCCACCUCCACCUCCGUCUCCGUCUCCGCCUCCGCCUCCGCCUGCUCAACCACCGGUGGCUGUAUCUACCUCUGAUUCCUGUGAAGAGCAAGUUCUAUCGUCGAACUCAUCUGCAGGUAGCACAGCGGAGCUUUUAGGAGAAAACGAACGGUUAAGAUUGGAGAAUUUACAGCUCAGCAAAGAGUUGAACCAAAUGAAGAAGCUCUGCGGCAAUAUAUAUGGUAUGAUGUCGACUUACGCACAUCCUUCGAGCAGCGGUAAUCAAUCGGCGGAGAGUAGUUCGCCUUCGUUGAAGCCACUGGAUCUGUUAGGGACGGAACGGUCCGUAGGUGAAUCUCAGGUGAAGGCGGUAGAGGACCGGGAGAGCCAUGAGGUACCGGAG
rnacentral:lncRNA from 1 species